GCUUGUCUCAAAGAUUAAGCCAUGCAUGUCUAAGUAUAAACGAUUUUAUACGUGAAACUGCGAAUGGCUCAUUAUAUCAGUUAUAGUUUAUUUGAUGGUCCUUACUAUUUGGAUAACCGUAGUAAUUCUAGAGCUAAUACAUGCAUCAAGCCCUGACUUCGGAAGGGGUGUAUUUAUUAGAUGGAAACCAAUGCGGGGCAACCCGGAAUAUGGUGAUUCAUAAUAACUUUCGGAUCGACGCAAGUCGAUGCAUCAUUCAAGUUUCUGCCCUAUCAGUUGUGGAUGGUAGGGUAUUGGCCUACCAUGACUUUAACGGGUAACGGAGAAUUAGGGUUCGAUUCCGGAGAGGGAGCCUGAGAAAUGGCUACCACAUCCAAGGAAGGCAGCAGG
rnacentral:rRNA from 1 species